rnacentral:rRNA from 1 species
AAUGAACGCUGGCGGCAGGCCUAACACAUGCAAGUCGAACGGAUCCUUCGGGAUUAGUGGCGGACGGGUGAGUAACGCAUGGGAACAUACCCUUUGGUACGGAAUAGCCUCGGGAAACUGGGAGUAAUACCGUAUGUGGUCGAGAGACGAAAGAUUUAUCGCCAAAGGAUUGGCCCGCGUUGGAUUAGGUAGUUGGUGGGGGAAUGGCCUACCAAGCCGACGAUCCAUAGCUGGUUUGAGAGGAUGAUCAGCCACACUGGGACUGAGACACGGCCCAGACUCCUACGGGAGGCAGCAGUGGGGAGUCUUAGACAAUGGGGGAAACCCUGAUCUAGCCAUGCCGCGUGAUCGAUGAAGGCCUUAGGGUUGUAAAGAUCUUUCAGGUGGGAAGAUAAUGACUGUACCACCAGAAGAAGCCCCGGCUAACUCCGUGCCAGCCGCCGCCGUAA